GGGGACCUUCGGGGCCCUUCACCACCGGGGCUGACCCCCCGCAAAGCAACGGAAGACAGAAA
rfam:Roseibacterium elongatum DSM 19469, complete genome.